rnacentral:rRNA from 1 species
GUGCCAGCAGCCGCGGUAAGACGAACCGUCCAAACGUUAUUCGGAAUCACUGGGCUUAAAGGGUGCGUAGGCGGCCCGGGAAGUUGGGUGUGAAAGCCCUCGGCUCAACCGAGGAACGGCGCCCAAAACUGCCGGGCUUGAGGAAGAUAGAGGUGAGCGGAACUUAGGGUGGAGCGGUGAAAUGCGUUGAUAUCCUAAGGAACACCAGUAGCGAAAGCGGCUCACUGGGUCUUUUCUGACGCUGAGGCACGAAAGCUAGGGGAGCGAACGGGAUUAGAUACCCCGGUAGUCCUAGCCUUAAACCAUGAGCACUGGUUUGGAGGGUCCUCCAUAGCCCUCCAGACGUAGCGAAAGUGUUAAGUGCUCCGCCUGGGGAGUAUGGUCGCAAGGCUGAA